GCCUAUUGAUGACUCGCCCCAAGGAUUUGGGGAUCGAGCUGUAUUUUAGUAGAUUUUGAAAACAGUUCCAGUGAUAUUUACCUGGAAGUGCCCUUGCAGCAAGUCCAGAAGUCCAGUCAUGCCAACGUGAGCUCAGAGAGUCUAGUCUGCGUGGGGUCUGAAGCAGCAGCAGGCAGAAACACGUUGCGUUGGCCUGUGAACAAAGGCGUUCAUGCUCUAAAACAAAGGAAGGAAACCAACCCCUGGACUUGAGUAACUCUAAGCAGCUGUGUGUUGGGGGCAGAAGGACACUUGUUCAGCAAGUCACAUGGAGAAGAGGGAUCUUUGGACAGUGUCUGAUGUGGUCUACCUUGUGAGCAAAGCGUGCGAAUUCCCGGGAAGGGAGGAGUGGCUAGCGACACAAAAUGCCUGUGGUUCACAGCUGUAGCACGGGAUUAGCUGAAGGGGACCUGCAAAGGAAAAAGAAAUUCAGGUCUGAUUUCGUCUGGAGGAUGCUGGGCGGGCUGAGAGCCUCAGGAGAUAAUGCUUUACGCCCAAUGUGCUUUCCAAAGGAGAUAGAUGACUGUCCACCUCUACAGAUAGAGAAGCUGAAGUACACAGAGGCUAAGAGACAUGCCCAAGGUCACACAGUAUCAUGACUGGCAGAGGCAGGAAUAGCCGAGAGGCUUUCUGGCCACGUGGGUC
rnacentral:lncRNA from 1 species